GACGUCGGCAGUGACACCAGACGCCAGAUCCUAGGUGUGGAGGAUGGUGACACGGAGUUGUGAACAGAAAAUAUCAAAGUCCACUCUAGGAAAGGGGCCUUUCAUCCGGAAAAUCUGCAUCCGGGUCCGCCGGAACUUGCAGUCUCAGAAUGGGGUAGUGGGCUAGAAAGAGGGCAGAACCAGUGUGGACCACGCCUGAGCUUCCCUGCUCUGUCCCCAGGGCGUAUCGGGAUCUGUCCCCACUUCCGGCCAGUGCAGCCUUGGUCUCCGCGUUUGCCACCACCAAAAUGGUGCUAAUUCAGCUCUACAGCCCCCAAUCUUUACUUCAAAGGUCAUCUCGCCCAUCAUGGUGGCUCAUGCCUAUAAUCCCAGCACUUUUGGAGGCCGAGGUGAGCAGAUCACCUGAGGUCAGGAGAUCAAGACCAGCCUUGCCAACAUGGUGAAACCUCAUCUCUAGUAAAAAUACAAACAUUAGCCAGGCAUGGCUGUGUGCACCUGUAGUCCCAGCUACUUGGGAGGCUGAAGCAGGAGAAUCGCUUGAACCCGGGAGGUGGAGGUUGCAGUGAGCCAAGAUCGAGCCACUGCACUCCAGCCUGGGCAACAGAGUGAGACUCCACCUC